rnacentral:lncRNA from 1 species
AGUCGAUGGCUUUUAAAUAUGACUGCACCUUGGUAUAAUCUAUGUGAGGGAAGGAAGAGGGAUGAAUUUACUUACUAAUCUCUUGAUCACACCGGUCAAAAGUUCACCUAAAGGGAGUUAACUUCUCUGCAGUUCUGGGUUGUGCAGGAUGGGCACUGAGCAAGUCCCCCUCACCCCACAUCUGACAAUGAACAAGUUUGUUUUACCUUCCCCAUGCAUUUAAAUGUCUAGCUUCUGGGAGGAGAACCAAAUGGGCAAGAAAGGAAACCUUUAGUAGUGUCUUCCUUAAACUCAGAUAAGUAAUGAGAAAGCAACCUUUUUCUUUCCCUCUUUCCUAGCUAGUGUAGGUCAUUGCUGGGUCAGGCUACUUUGACUUUGACCUGAGUUGGCAGUUGACACCAUUACCAGGCUCGUUGCUUGAUUAUACAUAGCAAGCACUUGGCAAAAUGCUUUUUAGUGGAUGAGCCAGUGUGAAUGGAGUGCCUCUUCCAUUUGCUUGACCUGAUACUAUUCUCAGUCCCUUCUAGACCUACUUGUCCUCUCUAGA